AAUACAUCGGAACGUGCCCAGUCGUGGGGGAUAACUACUCGAAAGAGUAGCUAAUACCGCAUACGAUCUGAGGAUGAAAGCGGGGGACCUUCGGGCCUCGCGCGAUUGGAGCGGCCGAUGGCAGAUUAGGUAGUUGGUGGGAUAAAAGCUUACCAAGCCGACGAUCUGUAGCUGGUCUGAGAGGACGACCAGCCACACUGGGACUGAGACACGGCCCAGACUCCUACGGGAGGCAGCAGUGGGGAAUUUUGGACAAUGGGCGAAAGCCUGAUCCAGCAAUGCCGCGUGCAGGAUGAAGGCCUUCGGGUUGUAAACUGCUUUUGUACGGAACGAAAAAGCUCCUUCUAAUACAGGGGGCCCAUGACGGUACCGUAAGAAUAAGCACCGGCUAACUACGUGCCAGCAGCCGCGGUAAUACGUAGGGUGCGAGCGUUAAUCGGAAUUACUGGGCGUAAAGCGUGCGCAGGCGGUUAUGUAAGACAGAUGUGAAAUCCCCGGGCU
rnacentral:rRNA from 1 species